AAAUGUUGUGACUAAAAGAUAAUACAUAAGGUCACUUGCGAAUUUGUGUGUGACCAAAAGUGUAGUUUUUAUUAGUCUCUUGUAAGUUUUCAUGUGGGAUUAACGGAGAUGACUACAAGUAAUCUAUACCAUUUUUAGUUACCCAUAAGAUACACCAAAAAAUUCCAAUUCCUCACUCAUCCCUCCAUCACCUACAUCCUUUUCACUCUGUCUACCCAUCCCUCCGCUCCAGUGCCUUUGCCUGCAACCAGGUAACUCUGCCCCACGCACUAUUCCAAAUUCUAAAAUUAAGAACCCUAGGUUUAUGGAGGAAGACGAUGUAGUAGUUUUAUAUUUCUCUGCGACCAGAGAUGAAUCUGAAGACGAAGAUGCUGGAUCACCAGCCGUGUGUCAGUAAAAAUUGUAGAAUGUGGAGCUUCAUUCUUUCAACAAUCAAGCUCUUUUCUUUGCUGAACUUGAAUGAACAAAUUUGGUUUCUAAAUUGGUUUGCAGGCACCCUUUUUCGUUCUCACCCGUAUAUGCCGAAAACGCCCUUGCAAGGCUUCCUUUUCAAGUGCUGCAUUUCCUUCUAUGUCUCAGUUUUGUGCUUUGCAUAUUGCCUAUGGUCAUACCAUUUGUGACUUUUUGGGUAUGGCGUCUCUCAUAUGUUAGGAGUUAUAAUGAAGCCCAGGGACUGUUGUUGAGUCAUAUUGCCAUCGCUGAAAUUGUUACCAACCUCUUUAAAGGGAUCUUAUUUUCUGCAUUUAUAAUGUAUGAUUUUCUUUGGUCCACAUUCUUAAGGUACUCUUUUAGACAUGUUGCUGGGGUUGGUCAGAUGAUUAGAAGAUUUGUAGGAUAUGUUGUAGCUAGAUGGGAAAUGCAAGUUGCUCGUCUUGAGCAGAUGUUUAAUGGUUUGGAUGAUGGGGGGUGGUGCUUUUGAUGAGCUAGUUGGCAUUUAGGGCCAUGUUAUUCACUUGGUGGAAAAUGCUUUCACUGAAGUUGCAUUGUUAACUGGUGGUUCACAUGGAUAUGUUGUUGGGCACAUUUGCCUGAAGCACAGGUGAUAUGAUCUUGCAAUCGAAUCAAGUGUAACUUCAGUACCCGGUGAAGAGUUUUUGGGACAACGUUCAAGCGCGAUGAGCGUUCAGCAGAACUAAGUGCAAAGCAAUCUUUAGUAUAAUUUUUUUUUCUAAUUUUGAGUGAAGUUUGUAGAUAGUUGAGGUUGUUUGUUGCAAGGUGGCUCAUCUCCAAAAAGAACUGUAUACUCGCUUUAUUUUGCGGUCUAAAACCUAAACAUCCGAACAGACAUAGUUUUGUGUUAGAUGUCACCACUUACUUUAUGCUGGACUUUGUUUAUACACACCCAAUUACUAACCUUUGGGUCUUAGGUUUUUUGUGUU